rnacentral:rRNA from 1 species
CCAGACUCCUACGGGAGGCAGCAGUGAGGAAUAUUGGUCAAUGGGCGCGAGCCUGAACCAGCCAAGUCGCGUGAGGGAGGACGGCCCUACGGGUUGUAAACCUCUUUUGCCGGGGAGCAACGGGCGUCACGUGUGGCGCCACUGAGAGUACCCGGAGAAAAAGCAUCGGCUAACUCCGUGCCAGCAGCCGCGGUAAUACGGAGGAUGCGAGCGUUAUCCGGAUUUAUUGGGUGUAAAGGGUGCGUAGACGGGAUUACAAGUUGGUUGUGAAACCCCUCAGCUCAACUGAGGAACUGCAACCAAAACUAUAAUUCUUGAGUGCAGGAGAGGAAAGUGGAAUUCCUAGUGUAGCGGUGAAAUGCGUAGAUAUUAGGAAGAACACCGGUGGCGAAGGCGACUUUCUGGACUGUAACUGACGUUGAGGCACGAAAGUGUGGGGAGCAAACAGGAUUAGAUACCCCUGUAC